GUGAGGACUCGGGAGGUGGAGGGUAGUGUCACCAGAGCUAGAGUGAUGUCUCAGCUCACUUCUCCCCCCACCUCCUCUCUCCUCAG
rnacentral:pre_miRNA from 17 species